AUGUAUCCAUUGUGUACAUUGUCUGAGGCUUACAGUAGGGCAAUCAUGAUGGAAAGGCAACUUGCUAGAAAGGAAAUGCAACUUCAAAACCUUGGUGGUUCAAGAAACCAUGUGCUGCCUGCAUCCAAGCCUUGGAAUGGCAAUGGAGUCAACAAAGAAAGAAGUCAGAACUCAAUAUCAAGUUCUGCAGGGCAGAAUAUAUUGAAAUCUUUUAGUACAACCAAACCUAGUGCCAAUGGAGCAGUAUUCAAAUGCUAUGUGUGGUGAGAAGGGGCAUAAGGCUAACGAAUGUAAGAAUUCUGCAGUACAAACCAGAAAUAAAGCCUUAUUGUUAGAGGAAGAUGAAAUUUGUGCUGAGAAUACAAUGUCAGAACUGGAAGCAAUCCAAGAAGAGGAAGCAGUUUUAGGAGGAGAUACUAAAGGGGAAGGUGGUCUCAUGCUGGUGACUAGGAAGACCUCGCUAACUCCUAAGUUUAAAGAUGAGAAAGAAGGGCUUAGGGGUAACAUCUUUUGCACUACAUGUUCCAUCCAAAACAGGGUGUGUAAUUUGAUCAUUGAUGGAGGGUCUUGUGAGAAUGUUGUUUCUCAAGAAGUAUUAGACAAGCUGAUGUUGAAGACAACUGAUCAUCCUCAACCUUACAAGCUGUCAUGGCUUAAAAAAAAGGGAGUUCUAUGAAGGUUAACAAGCAGUGCUUGGUGUCUUUCUCAAUAAGGAAGCAGUUCUUUGAUGAAGUCCUAUGUGAUGUGGUCAAAAUAAAUGCCCUGCCACCCGUUGUUAGGCAGACCUUGGCAAUUUGAUAGAAGAACCAUGCAUGAUGGGAGAAGGAACUCAUACAGCCUGAUCAAAGAUGGGAAGAAGUUCACUCUACUGCCACAAAAGAAGAAAGCUAAUAAGUCCUCAAUUCCUAAUUCUUCAUUCUUGGUCACUAAGUCCUUCAUGAAUGAAAGUUUGGAAGUAGGGAUUGUGUAUGUGUUGUUGUCUACUUUAGAGUUGGAGUCUAUGAAUAUACCAGUAGAGAUUAGGCAAUUAAUCUUGGGAUUUGAAGAUGUGUUCCUACUGAAUUGCCUAGUGAUUUACCUCCCUGAGAGACAUUCUACAUUGUAUUGAUUUGGAUCCUAGUGCAUCAUUACCUAAUAGGCUUACUUAUAGAAUAACACCUUUAGAGAAGGCAAAAAUUCAAAAACAAGUUGAAGAGUUGUUGGCUAAAGGAUACCUUAGGCCUAACACUAGUCCUUGUUCUGUCCCAACCCUCCUUACACCCAAAAAUGAUGGCUCUUGGAGAAUGUGUGUAAAUGGUAGGGCUAUUAACACGAUAACAAUAAAGUAUAGGUUUCCAAUUCCAAGGUUAGAUGAUAUCUUGGACUGUUUAUCUGGUGCCAAGUUAUUUUCUAAAAUAGACUUGAGGAGUGGGUAUCACCAUAUUAGAAUGAGACCUAGAGAUGAAUGGAAGACAACGUCUAAAACCCCUCAUGGCUUGUUUGAAUGGUUGGUGAUGCCAUUUGGGCUAACAAAUGCUACAAGUACUUUCAUGAGGGUGAUGACUCAAAUGUUGCAGCCUAUGUUAGGAAUCUAUGCAAUGGUUUAUUUUAAACACAUUUUAAUGUAUUCUAAGAGCUUGAAUGAUCAUUUAGAGCAUCUUAAAAGAGUGUUUGAGCUGUUAAGAGAGUAUAAAUUCUAUGCAAACACAAAGAAAUGCACUUUUGCAACAGAUCAAGUGGGAUUUUUGGGGUAUGUCGUUUCUACAGAAGGUACCAAAAUGGAUUCUUCUUAAGUGCAGGCCAUUCUUGAGUGGCCAACUCCCAAAUCAGUCAGUGAAGUACGAAGCUUUCAUGGCUUAGCCAAUUUCUACAAAAGGUUCAUCCGGGACUUCAGUUCAAUAGCAGCACCUCUAACUGAUUGUUUGAAGUAAAAGAACCUAGUUUGGUCAGUUCAAGUCAAUGACAGUUUUGCAGCUCUCAAGAAAGCUCUCACUACAACACUUGUUUUGCAAGUUCCAAACUUUGAGAAGACUUUUGAGUUGGAUACAGAUGCUUCAAUCCAUGAUAUUGGGGGAGUUCUCAGUUAAGAAAGUAAGCCUAUAGCCUUCUUUAGUGAGAAACUCAGUGGUGCUAAAUUGAACUAUUGUACUUAUGAUUUAGAGUUCUAUGCUUUAGUCCAAGCUAUCAAGAAUUGGAAUUACUUUUCUUUUUUUGAUAAAUAUCAAGAUUGGAGUUACUAUCUUGCCUAUAAAGAAUUUAUUCUUAAUACUGAUCAUGAGGCACUCAAGCACCUGCAUAAGCAGCAAAAUUUGCAUAAAAGGCAUGCCAAGUGGGUUGCCUAUUUACAGUGAUUCAAUUUCUGCAUAAGGCGUAAGGCAGGUGUCUUAAAUAAAGUGGCUGAUGGACUAAGUCAAAGACAGGCCUUGCUUUGCCACAUGCAAGCUAUAUUACCUGGCUUUGAUGUGUUCAAGGAACAUUACAUGGGUGACAACAAGUUGCAGCCUGUCUUAGUUGCAAUCAAGCAAAGCAACUAUGCAGCCUAUCCUGAUUUCUAUAAGAAGGAUGGCUUUCUGUUCAAGGGAGUACAACUAUGUGUUCCUAAGUGUUCUUUAAGGGAUCAAUUGCUGCUGGAGGUCCAUAAUCUAGGCCAUUUUGGAAGAGAUAAGACAUUGACUACAACAGAAAUACUAUUGAAAAGGCAUGGAAGUAGAUGUGUCAAAGCUGGUCCAGAGAUGUUUGAUUUGUCAGAAAUCCAAGGGGGCAACCACCAAUGCUGGCCUUUAUCUUCCUCUACCUGUGCUUUCCAAGCCUUAGAAGUUCAUUAGCAUGGAUUUUGUCUUGGGUUUACCUCCAACAGUAAGAAGAGCAGACGGUAUAUAUGUUGUUGUUGACAGGUUUAGCAAGAUAGCCCAUUUCAUUCCUAGCAGGAAAUCCAAUGAUGCUUCCUGUGUGGCUGAUCUUUUCUUCAGGAAUGUCUACAUGCUCCAUGGUCUACCUCACUCUAUUGUUUCAGAAAGGGACACUAGUUUUAGGCCAUUUUUGAAGGACUUUGUGGAAGAAAGUAGGUACCAGCUAAGAUUACAGCACAACAUUUCAUCCCCAAACUGAUUGACAGACAGAAGUAGUUAACAAGAGCUUGAGCAAUAUCCUCAGAUGUUUGGUAGGUGACCAUCCUAAAGAGUGGGAGGGGAUUCUGCCAAUUGCAGAACUUGCUUUUAACAUCUCAAUUAACAGAAGUCCAAGCUUUAGUCCAUUCAAGAUAGUCUAUGGCAGUAAUCCUACCAAUGUCACUGAUUUGGUAGCGUUGCCAAUACUCCAGAGGGUUCAUCGAAAGGCUAAGAACAUGACAGAAGUGAUGCAGCAAGUCCACCAACAAAUAAGGCCAAGCUAGAAGCAACCAAUGCCAAACACAAAUCUGCAAUUGUUUUGCACAGGAAACUAUUUGAAGUUGGCGACUUAGUUUAGGUGUUGAUUUCUAAAGAUAGAAGACCAGAAGGACAGUAUGCUAAGUUGAGACAAAGGAAGUAUGGUCCUUGCAGUGUUGAAGAGAAUCAAUCACAAUGCCUAUGAGAUUGAGCUACCUUCCCAUAUGUCUAUCUCUAAUAUUUUCAAUGUGUUGGCUUACUCCUCACCAUGAUCCAACGGAGGCCAAGAGCACUUGAGGCCAAGUGCUUUCCAAGAAGGGCAGCCUGAUGUAGGAGCAUUUUCUAAGCUGUUUUAAGAUGUUUGAUUGAGUCAAGCUAGCAACCUUAGAGCAUCCACAUCAGUCCAUGGAAAAAAUUUUCCAUUUUACAAGUCUAAAACUUACUUUUUCUAUUUUACACACUUAUUUUUACAAAAUACCCACAUCAGUUUGUCUAUUAUACACAUUUAUUCAAAUAAAAUAUUUAUUUCUUUAACCCAAUGCUAUAGUGCUACAGUACCACAGUGCCAAGCAAAGUUAUGCUACAGUACCGAGGAGAGAAAAAAAAACUAUUAAAAAAUCAUAUACACAUGCUACAGUGCCCGUGUAAAUUUACACGGGUACUAUAGCUCAUUGAUAAUUUUAGAAGAUUUUGCAAGAUUUUAAACGGACUGAUGUGGGCUGUUUUUGAACAAAAAUGUGUAAAUUUGAGCAUUUUUUCUAUUAUACACACUUAUACAUGAACUGAUGUAAAUGCUCUAGCUGUUGAGAACAGUUAGUUACAGCUACCUUUAUGUCCAAACAAGGGCCUUAAGGCAAUUAGCUUAUAUGGCAGUCUUUCUUAUUUGAAUUAGUUAGUCUUGUUAAUAAAAGUAGUUAACUUUUAUUAGAUGUAACCAAUGUUAGUUUGACACUUGGCAAGAAACUAAUGGACAGAUUGUAUAAGUACUCUUGUACUCUCAUUUUUUUAAUCAAUUUUGAGAACCAGUGAUUUUAAGCCUUCGUGUGCUUUAUAUUGGAAUUUAAUGUUCUUUCAGAAGUGCCUAACCACCUCCUUAAUGUUUAACAAACCAAAGCCUACGCACAUUCCCUACAUCACAGAGAUAGAGAGGGCUUUCUCUGGGAAACCAGGGACCUGCUGAUCUUAAAUGGCUCAUAAAAGAUUAAAACUUGAAAAGAAGAGGCCCAAAAAGAAAAUUGUGAAAGGGGUAUGCAUGGCAAACUGAGAUGGAAGGAGAAAGGCGGUUAAGGCUGUCUCAGCCACCAUUAAUGAAGCUGAAAGAGCUCAAAGACACAAUAAUCGAAUGCUCCAAACGAAUGUGCACAUAUAAAAUAAUACUAUAAUUAAGAAUAGUCCUCAUUUCCUUAUAUAGAGAGAAGAGUUGAAACUUGAAAGAAAAUUUCAAACAUGGGGUUAGAAAAUAGGAAACUUGAGUUUUGCACAAAAGAUUUAACAAGGGCCAAAAAGGAACAAAUAGAAAUAGGGCAAUUUUGCUGUUUGGCAUUAUUCCGCUAGUUAGCCAAACAAACCCCAUUCCAAAAUAUUUAGGAAGGUAGCCCUCAUUUGGAAUUUGAUUUUUGCAAAAUCGAAUUUUCAGGUACAUCUUGAUUGCUUUAAAAUCAAGUUGUAGGUCACAUUGGCUAAGCUGGCAAUGGCUGAUGUGGCAAUUUCAAAAAAAAAUUCCUAAUUGGAACUCGUUUUUAUCAAAAUCGAGUUUAAGGGUCCACUUGGUUGGAGAAAUGAAAAAGUAUGAGGAUAGAAAAUAAUGAUAUGAUGGAAAAUAGGCAGAAUAGAAGAGAUUUUAGUUUCCCUCAUUUGUGUUUGAUUAGGAUAUGGAAAAGUGAAAGGAUGGAAAAUGUAGUUUGUAUAAAUUUACCCUCAUACCCCUAUUAGAUAAAAGAAGUAAUAAAUUAUAUUUUUAUUAAUAAAAUGGAUGGGAAAAAAAAAAACAACAACAACAAAUGAGAAGUCAAAAGUGAAAUUGGUUGGGGAAAUUAAUAAGAACAUCGCACAGAGAAGUUAGUUGAACUUUGCAUAGUAAAGAAAACAGAGGAGAAAGCCAAAAAAAAAAAAAAAAAAGGUAUGGAGAAGAACGUUGCAGUGAGGGACAUUUUUUUCCAAAUAACCGGUCUAGUUUUCUCCCCAUUUUGGGGAAAUUACAUUUUGGUGGGCCCAAAGAGAAAAUGCAUGGGCCCCACCAAAAAUAUUUCAUCCUUUCUCUCCUUACCAAACAACACCAAAUGCUAUUUUAUCUCCUUUCUUUUCUAUCCUCCCUAGUCCGCCUCCAACCAAACGUAGCCUAAGGAAACUCAAGUCAUCUAUAAACUAUUUGUGCCUACUAUUCAAAUUAUCUGAACAAAACUUGAUUUAAAUGAACUAGAGUUUAAACCAAAUGUCCCCAUUUCAACCAAAGUUGUCAAGAAAUCAGUAAGAGCGUCUCUAACAGCAUUGGCAAACACAAAAUCCUCUCUGUUUUAGAGAGUCUAACCACAAAAUGAUGCUCUAAUAGCCCCUCUAAAAUGCAAAAAGUUUUUAUGAACAAUCACUCUCUUUGCCUGGAGUGCUACUGUUAACUAGCAAAAAAAUUAAACGAAAUAAAAAACAACCGAUUAAAAUAUUCAACUUUUAUCUCAACGGUUACAAAUCACCCACCUCCUUUCUCUCUCAAACAUCUCCAAACUCAAAGGGGAGGUAAAUCAGUUAGCAUACAUUUGGCAGUGGGGAGGAGGACGAGCAGUGGAGUGGUCGAGCCAGAGUUGCACAGUUAACAGUUAACGCCAAUCUCCAUUGGUUUUGUCCUUUGGGGCAACUCUCUCUCAGGUUUUGGUUGAUCUCAACUGGCCUUCACAGCAGCGAUCUUUCUCUAUCUCUCUCUCAACGAGUUUUGUCCUAUGUUGCAGGGAUACAGACACAAGUAUGGAGUCUUUUGGCUAAAUAUUGUUAAAUUUAAAACAUAUUUGCGUUAUAGGUACUAUUACAAGUUAUUUAGAGGAAUGAGGAGAGAGAUUGUAUUUCGGCAACAAUGUUACCGGAAUUCAAGAAAAAGUAGGAGAGAGAAUGAGAAAAAUGGAGGAAAGAGAAAAACUUGAAUUUCGGCAACAGUGUUGCUGUAAUUCAUUUGCCCAAUUUUCCUCACCUGCUUGGAUGUGUGAGUGUGAGAAGUGUAAUGAGUGAGUGCCAAAAAAAAAAAAAAAAAAGUAAUUGUGGCAAUGGUAUUGCCGAAAAUGGUAAGGGAAAAAAAAAGUGAAUGCCAAAAUUUGCAGAAGAAUUAAAGAAAAAUAUAAUGUGCUACGUACACAAUAUUUUCACAAUAUUAAAUACUACAAGAUUUGGACUAAUAGUAAAAAUAUAUUAUAAUUUUCACGACACAUAAACUGCCACAUGAAUUAACUCGUAUUAGGCUUCCAAGUUCACUAAUUAACUCGUAUUAGGCUUCCAAGUUCACUAAUGUCCUCAAAUUUACUAUUAUUAUUGACUUAUUAAUACUACAGUUAUUAAUUAAUAGUAGUAUUUAAUUAAUUAGGUGAACACAUGGUAAGUAUUUAUUGGUGGAAUAUAGAGUGGAGCAGGAAAAAUGGGACAGAAGAUUUGGACUCGACUUUGUGUGGAUAGAUUUUUCAAUUCAAAAUCUAAUAUUUAUCAAUGAUAAAAUUUAUGAAAUCAAAAGCCCAGGAUAUAAAUAAGCACCAUUGUAAGGUUUUUUUUUUUUUUUUUUUUGGGUGUAAAAAACUAUACUUUAAUAUAUAUAUAUAUUUUCAUUGUAAUUUUUUUUUUUUUUUUUUUUUUUUGGGUGUAAAAAACUAUACUUUAAUAUAUAUAUAUAUUUUGGAGUCAGUAUCCUUCAGUUUAGGUAUUUGAAAAAACAAAAAUACAAAAUACAAAAAUACAUUUUUUGAUUAUGUAUUUUACUUUAUUACCAUCCAAAUCCUCAGAUUUGUAGAUAUAAGAAAGAAAGAAACAUAAUAAUAAUCCUCUUUCUAUUUUUUUUUUUUUUCCGAUUGGUUGGAUGAAAAUUUAAAUUAAAAAAUUUUAUCCAACUAAUAAAGGGCUAAGAUAGCCUUCUUUUCCUGUUCCUCAACUUGAGAUACAAUCAUACACAUACACACAAAAAAAAAAUGUUAAUAAAAUAAAAACAUUAAAGUUAUUUUUGAUGAUGUUUAUCUGAAGUGCAAGAUAAUGGGUUACAAAAUCAAACUCACUCUCAAUCAUCACUCUCCAACUCGUUGCUCUUGGCAACUCUCUCUCCUUGCAUGGACAAGUUCUCUCUAACCUGAGCCUACUCUCUUCCCAGCGGCUCUAGGUCUCUUUUCUUUCAAUCCUCCUUUUUCUUUUUCCUAUCUCUCUACCUUUCAAAGAUAACUGAUUUCCAUCUAACAUUUUUCGCUCAUCAGAUCAAUCCAUAUUAACCCAAUCGUGGAACCCAUUAUUUACCCAUCAAGUGGGGGCCAUUCCGGUCCCAUGGCAAAAUCAACUAGUGAUAAAGAUCUAGAUGUAUCCAUAGUGGAUUCUCUAGUCACUGAAACAGCCAAUUUACAGAGUCCCAAUAAAUCCAUAAAGCUGAAGGCAAACGAUAAGGCAGUCAGUAUAAUGUAUAACUUGGGUCUAGUUGGUAAGAUUCUGGCAGAUAAAGUCAUAAAUAAGAACGCUGUCAAAGCUAUUCUAUUGAAAGCAUGGAGUACGGCUAAAGGAGUUCAGAUUGUGGACCUAAGUGACAAUAUAUAUCUCUUCAAGUUUGCUGUUGAAGGAGAUAGGAAAAGAGUCAUUGAGCUCGGGCCAUGGAACAUAGAGGGAUUUCCUCUCAUCCUUAAACCAUGGGAUCAGAAACUCUAG
rnacentral:sRNA from 1 species